GUGGGGAAUCUUAGACAAUGGGGGAAACCCUGAUCUAGCCAUGCCGCGUGAGCGAUGAAGGCCUUAGGGUUGUAAAGCUCUUUCAGCUGGGAAGAUAAUGACUGUACCAGCAGAAGAAGCCCCGGCUAACUCCGUGCCAGCAGCCGCGGUAAUACGGAGGGGGCUAGCGUUGUUCGGAAUUACUGGGCGUAAAGCGCGCGUAGGCGGACCAGAAAGUUGGAGGUGAAAUCCCAGGGCUCAACCUUGGAACUGCCUUCAAAACUCCUGGUCUGGAGUUCGAGAGAGGUGAGUGGAAUUCCGAGUGUAGAGGUGAAAUUCGUAGAUAUUCGGAGGAACACCAGUGGCGAAGGCGGCUCACUGGCUCGAUACUGACGCUGAGGUGCGAAAGCGUGGGGAGCAAACAGGAUUAGAUACCCUUGUAGUCC
rnacentral:rRNA from 1 species